AAAAAUAAGAAUAUGAUGUUGGUUCAGAUUAAGCGCUAAAUAAGGACAUGACACAUGCGAAUCAUACGUUUAUUAUUGAUAAGAUAAUAAAUAUGUGGUGUAAACGUGAGUAAUUUUAUUAGGAAUAUAUGAACUAUAGAAUAAGUUAAAUACUUAAUAAUAAAUUAUAUAAAAAAGUAAUAAUUAUAUAAUAAUAAAGGAUAUAUAUAUAUAUAUUUAUCUAUAGUCAAGCCAAUAAUGGUUUAGGUAGUAGGUUUAUUAAGAGUUAAACCUAGCCAACGAUCCAUAAUCGUUAAUGAAAGUUAGAACGAUCACGUUGACUCUGAAAUAUAGUCAAUAUCUAUAAGAUACAGCAGUGAGGAAUAUUGGACAAUGAUCGAAAGAUUGAUCCAGUUACUUAUUAGGAUGAUAUAUAAAAAAAUUAUAUCUAUAAAAGUAUAUAAAUAUAUAUAUAUAUAAAUUGAUUAAAAAUAAAAUCCAUAAAUAAUUAAAAUAAUGAUAUUAAUUACCAUAUAAUAAUAAUAUGGAUAUAUAAUAAUUAUAAUAUUAAUUUAUUAUAAUAAAUUAUAUAUUUUAAUAGUCCUGACUAAUAUUUGUGCCAGCAGUCGCGGUAACACAAAGAGGGCGAGCGUUAAUCAUAAUGGUUUAAAGGAUCCGUAGAAUGAAUUAUAUAAUUUAGAGUUAAUAAAUUUAAUUAAAGAAUUAUAAUAGUAAAGAUGAAAUAAUAAUAAUAAUUAUAAGACUAAUAUAUGUGAAAAUAUUAAUUAAAUAUUAACUGACAUUGAGGGAUUAAAACUAGAGUAGCGAAACGGAUUCGAUACCCGUGUAGUUCUAGUAGUAAACUAUGAAUACAAUUAUUUAUAAUAAAUAUAUAUAUAUAUAAAUAAUAAAUGAAAAUGAAAGUAUUCCACCUGAAGAGUACGUUAGCAAUAAUGAAACUCAAAACAAUAGACGGUUACAGACUUAAGCAGUGGAGCAUGUUAUUUAAUUCGAUAAUCCACGACUAACCUUACCAUAUUUUGAAUAUUAUAAUAAUUAUUAUAAAUUAUUAUAUUACAGGCGUUACAUUGUUGUCUUUAGUUCGUGCUGCAAAGUUUUAGAUUAAGUUCAUAAACGAACAAAACUCCAUAUAUAUAAUCUUAAUUAUAUAUAAUUUUAUAUUAUUUAUUAAUAUAAAGAAAGGAAUUAAGACAAAUCAUAAUGAUCCUUAUAAUAUGGGUAAUAGACGUGCUAUAAUAAAAUGAUAAUAAAAUUAUAUAAAAUAUAUAAAAAAAUAUAUUUAAUUAAUAAUAUAAAACAUUUUAACUUUUAAUAUAUUUUUAUAUUAUAUAUUAAUAUGAAUUAUAAUCUGAAAUUCGAUUAUAUGAAAAAAGAAUUGCUAGUAAUACGUAAAUUAGUAUGUUACGGUGAAUAUUCUAACUGUUUCGCACUAAUCACUCAUCACGCGUUGAAACAUAUUAUUAUCUUAUUAUUUAUUAAUAUUUAUAUAAUUAUAUUAUAUAAUUAAUUAAUAUUUAUUUAUAUCAGAAAUAAUAUGAAUUAAUGCGAAGUUGAAAUACAGUUACCGUAGGGGAACCUGCGGUGGGCUUAUAAAUAUC
rnacentral:ncRNA from 1 species